rnacentral:rRNA from 1 species
UACGUAGGGUGCAAGCGUUGUCCGGAAUUAUUGGGCGUAAAGAGCUCGUAGGCGGUCUGUCGCGUCUGCUGUGAAAUCCCGGGGCUCAACCCCGGGCUUGCAGUGGAUACGGGCAGACUAGAGUUCGGUAGGGGAGACUGGAAUUCCUGGUGUAGCGGUGAAAUGCGCAGAUAUCAGGAGGAACACCGGUGGCGAAGGCGGGUCUCUGGGCCGAUACUGACGCUGAGGAGCGAAAGUGUGGGGAGCGAACAGG